UACUCUUUACAUACAAAAUGCUCGAAAUUAAUUCCUUCUGAGUGGGAGGCAGAGGAGACGCAGGGCAAAUUUAGCUCUCCCAUUCAAAGGGUGAUCUUGAGGGAUACCUGCACCAUCUGAAAACUGGAUUUGGAGACAUGAACUUACUCUUGGUAUGGAGAAGGCCAUGAGAAGACUCGGCUUCCUUUUACCAUGUGUCCGUCUCAGUAAGGAGGUAAGGAAUAUGGGACAUAAAGAAUUUAAGUAACUUGACCCACAGCACAAAGAUAUCAAGGGAGAAAAAUAUGGAAGAAUACAUACCGGGGAACUGACAUAGGUUGGGGGAAUGAGAAGAUGAUGAUUUGGAUGGCUGGAGAUGGAGAGGAGAAGAUAAACCCGGGCAAAAAAGAAAGAAAGAAAGAAAGAUCAGGUUCUCCAGACUGGACAGCCAUUCCUAGAUUAACCAGGCAUUGAUACGGGAGGGAGAUGCUUUGCUGCAGGAAUUCUCAGGUGAAUCUCCCUGGAUUAUAAACCCAUCUGCAGUUACUCCUGAGUGAAAAUGGUUACAGAGUGUAUCAUACAGGAUGGAGAACAGGAGGGAACUGUGAUAGUAAAAAUGGAGGAAAAUAACUCUUUUUAUACAAGAAAUUGACUUGCAGUAGAACAGCCAGCCCAGCCAGGAAGUCUUCUGCCAAUGCUUUAGACAGCUCUGCUAGCAGGAGACACCUGGACCCAGGGAGGCUCUAAGACAACUCUGGGAACUUUGCCAUAAGUGGCUAUGACUAGAGGAUCAUACCAAGGAGCAGAUCUUGGAACUGCUGGUGCUGCAGCAUUUCCUGUCCAUCCCAUCCGAGGAGCUCCAGUGUUGGGUACAAGAGCAUCAUCCAUUGAAUGGAAAUGAAGCUGUGUCUUUGCUGGAAGAUUGCAGAGAGAACUUGAUGAUCCUGGAUUUCAGACAGUGAAACCAAACCUGAGACUGGUAAUUUGGCUCCAAAGCAGGAAGCAUGCAAAGGAAUAGAAUCACAGAGGUCGCUGUUUGGUAGAAUCUGCAGAAGCAGCAACAUUUUACAGGAUACUCAUUUUGGAGACCUUCAUGAAUGCAAGGACAGGUUUGAAAAGCAUCAAGGAAAUUUAAAGGAAGGCAAAGAACACAGAUGUGAUCAGUGUGGGAAAAGUUUCAUGCACAACAUCGGUCUUAUUGGACAUCAGAGAAUCUAUACAGGGGAAAAACCCUUUAUAUAUGAAGAAUGUGGGAGAGUCUUCAGUCAAAACACAACCCCCUUUAAACAUCUCAGAAUUCACACCGGUAAGAAACCUUAGUGUAAUCAGUGUGGUAAGUUUUAGUCGAGGCUCAGUCCUUAUUAAACAUCAGAUAAAUCAC